UUUUCACCUAUAUUAUUUUCUACAUCCGAGGUGGUACUAUUUACCUGCGUAUACUAUGUAUAUACGUUGAUUGGGGAGUACACACGACGACGGCGGUGGUUGCUCGGAGCCACGAAUGUGACAGUCCAUACGUCUGAGUUUAUUAAUUGGGAACGGAUCAACACGGCGGCUUGAGCGGCGGCAGCGGCGGCUUGAGUUUGCAGGGCCUGGGGGCAGAAGAGAGAUGGAGGUCAGGGAAAGAAGAAGGGAGAAAAGAGGGGUGGUGCAGCAACCUAGCGAGGAGCUCGUUGGAGCUGGGCGAAGCCGGACUGGCACGGGAGAUAGAGGGGUCCGACGCGGCGGUGCGAAAUCCUUGCAAGUGGAGGCAAGCGUCGAAGCAGAGGACGAGAGGAUCCCUGGCCUAAUUUUGGAGUGCACUGAGCUUUCCAGAUCCAUCCCCUCCUAAUUUUGGCGAGGUGGAGCACUCCAGCCACCUCCUAGCCCUACCAUGGCCUGCCUCAAGUAGAGGAAGAAGAGGAGGCCUGAAAGAGAGAGGCCGCAAGGUAGAAGCCUUUUGAUUAGGAGGCAGUCAAGCAAGUUGGACGAACUGCUGAUAAAGAGAUAUAAAUUAUAUUCUGAAUUUGUACCUAAAAAGCAGGAUUGGGUCACAGAUGUAUGUUAGUUAUGUCUCUCACCGUGUGUGGAAACAGUUAUUGGUUAUUUUCAUCUUGUUUGUUGACA